rnacentral:rRNA from 1 species
UCUCCAAUCAGGGUAGGACUACCCGCUGAACUUAAGCAGAUCAAUAAGCGGAGGAAAAGAAACUAACAAGGAUUCCCCUAGUAACGGCGAGUGAAGCGGGAAGAGCUCAAAUUUAAAAUCUGGCGGUGCAUUCCGUCCGAGUUGUAGUCUAGAGAAGCGUCAUCCGCGCCGGACCAUGUACAAGUCUCUUGGAACAGAGCGUCAUAGAGGGUGAGAAUCCCGUCCUUGACAUGGACUCCCGGUGCUUUGCGUUGCGCUCUCAACGAGUCGAGUUGUUUGGGAAUGCAGCUCAAAACGGGUGGUAAAUUCCAUCUAAAGCUAAAUAUUGGCGAGAGACCGAUAGCGAACCAGUACCGUGAGGGAAAGAUGAAAAGCACUUUGGAGAGAGAGUUAAACAGUACGUGAAAUUGUUGGAAUGGAAACCGCUUGAAGUCAGUCGCGUUCUCUGGGAUUCAGCCUUGCUUCUGCUUGGUGCAUUUCCUAGUCUACGGGCCAGCAUGGAUUUGGCCGACGUGAAAGGGCUGUGGGACUGUGACACCUCCGGGGUGUAUGACCCGU